rnacentral:piRNA from 1 species
UGCCCUGUAUAAUUGGCAUGGCUUGGCUGC